GGUAUAAAUGAUGGCGUACGAAUUGUGAUGGCAUAGUUCAAUUGUUGCACACAACUGACAGUAAACAUGCCUUCUCCUUGCGAACCCUGCAAAGACACGUGUACCGACGGUAGCUGCGAGGAUAACUGCACUUGCAAGGACAAAGGCUGCGACGACUGCACUUCUAAAGGUGGUUGCUGUUAAUAACAAUGGACGUGGUCCGCGCUCGCCGCCGACCCUCGCUGUUCUCCCGCGUCAGCGCCGUGCUCGAGACCUGCUUCCCUAUCUCCUUCACAGUCGUCUUCCUCAUAACUAUUGUUCUGUUUUAUUGCUUCAUAUAAAUGUUAUGUUGAUUUAAA